AUGCACGCUGGCGGCGUGCCUAAUACCUGCAAGUCGAGCGCACGGACGAGAAGCUUGCUUCUCUGAUGUUAGCGGCGGACGGGUGAGUAACACGUGGAUAACCUACCUAUAAGACUGGGAUAACUUCGGGAAACCGGAGCUAAUACCGGAUAAUAUUUUGAACCGCAUGGUUCAAAAGUGAAGGACGGUCUUGCUGUCACUUAUAGAUGGAUCCGCGCUGCAUUAGCUAGUUGGUAAGGUAACGGCUUACCAAGGCAACGAUGCAUAGCCGACCUGAGAGGGUGAUCGGCCACACUGGAACUGAGACACGGUCCAGACUCCUACGGGAGGCAGCAGUAGGGAAUCUUCCGCAAUGGGCGAAAGCCUGACGGAGCAACGCCGCGUGAGUGAUGAAGGUCUUCGGAUCGUAAAACUCCGUUAUUAGGGAAGAACAUAUGUGUAAGUAACUGUGCACAUCUUGACGGUACCUAAUCAGAAAGCCACGGCUAACUACGUG
rnacentral:rRNA from 1 species